rnacentral:rRNA from 1 species
UCGAGGGAGGAGCCUUCGGGCUUCGACCGGCGUACGGGUGCGUAACGCGUAUACAAUCUGCCUUUCACAUAGGGAUAGCCCGAAGAAAUUUGGAUUAAUACCUAAUGGUAUAUAGGAGUGGCAUCACAUUUAUAUUAAAGCUGAGGCGGUGAAAGAUGAGUAUGCGUUCUAUUAGCUAGUUGGGGAGGUAACGGCUCCCCAAGGCGACGAUAGAUAGGGGUUCUGAGAGGGAUAUCCCCCACACUGGUACUGAGAUACGGACCAGACUCCUACGGGAGGCAGCAGUGAGGAAUAUUGGACAAUGGUCGGAAGACUGAUCCAGCCAUGCCGCGUGCAGGAAGACGGCCUUAUGGGUUGUAAACUGCUUUUGCAGGAGAAGAAUAAGGAGUACGUGUACUUUGAUGACGGUACUCUGCGAAUAAGCAUCGGCUAACUCCGUGCCAGCAGCCGCGGUAAUACGGAGGAUGCGAGCGUUAUCCGGAAUCAUUGGGUUUAAAGGGUCCGUAGGCGGGCUAAUAAGUCAGAGGUGAAAGCGCUCAGCUCAACUGAGCAACUGCCUUUGAAACUGUUAGUCUUGAAUGGUUGUGAAGUAGUUGGAAUGUGUAGUGUAGCGGUGAAAUGCUUAGAUAUUACACAGAACACCGAUAGCGAAGGCAUAUUACUAACAAUUAAUUGACGCUGAUGGACGAAAGCGUGGGGAGCGAACAGGAUU